GAUGAACGCUGGCGGCGUGCCUAAUACAUGCAAGUCGAGCGAACAGAUAAGGAGCUUGCUCCUUUGACGUUAGCGGCGGACGGGUGAGUAACACGUGGGUAACCUACCUAUAAGACUGGAAUAACUCCGGGAAACCGGGGCUAAUGCCGGAUAACAUUUAGAACCGCAUGGUUCUAAAGUGAAAGAUGAUUUUACUAUCACUUAUAGAUGGACCCGCGCCGUAUUAGCUAGUUGGUAAGGUAACGGCUUACCAAGGCAACGAUACGUAGCCGACCUGAGAGGGUGAUCGGCCACACUGGAACUGAGACACGGUCCAGACUCCUACGGGAGGCAGCAGUAGGGAAUCUUCCGCAAUGGGCGAAAGCCUGACGGAGCAACGCCGCGUGAGUGAUGAAGGUCUUCGGAUCGUAAAACUCUGUUAUUAGGGAAGAACAAAUGUGUAAGUAACUGUGCACGUCUUGACGGUACCUAAUCAGAAAGCCACGGCUAACUACGU
rnacentral:rRNA from 1 species